AUUGAACGCUGGCGGCAGGCCUAACACAUGCCAGUCGAGCGGAUGAAGGGAGCUUGCUCCUGGAUUCAGCGGCGGACGGGUGAGUAAUGCCUAGGAAUCUGCCUGGUAGUGGGGGAUAACGUCCGGAAACGGGCGCUAAUACCGCAUACGUCCUGAGGGAGAAAGUGGGGGAUCUUCGGACCUCACGCUAUCAGAUGAGCCUAGGUCGGAUUAGCUAGUUGGUGGGGUAAAGGCCUACCAAGGCGACGAUCCGUAACUGGUCUGAGAGGAUGAUCAGUCACACUGGAACUGAGACACGGUCCAGACUCCUACGGGAGGCAGCAGUGGGGAAUAUUGGACAAUGGGCGAAAGCCUGAUCCAGCCAUGCCGCGUGUGUGAAGAAGGUCUUCGGAUUGUAAAGCACUUUAAGUCGGGAGGAAGGGCAGUAAGUUAAUACCUUGCUGUUUUGACGGUACCAACAGAAUAAGCACCGGCUAACUUCGUG
rnacentral:rRNA from 1 species